rnacentral:rRNA from 1 species
AUGGUGCGACACUGCGACUGCUCCGUACAAAUGUGCAACUCAAGCAGAAAUGUUGGGUGUGCGUUAGUUCAGAGGAAAUUAUUUGGCCAUGACCCUAAAAACAGGAACCUAUUUGCCCAUCAAUUUGACCUUGCAAUGUUUUUCAAAUUUAUCCAUGAAUUUGAAUUGGAUUGGAUUAGAUUGCAUGACAUAGUAGUUAAAUGGAUGUUUGGUUUGUCUACACAAAGACCGGUAUGUUUGAUUCAAGUCAGUGGUGUGUGGUUUCGCAGAUUCACACAGCAAUCAUUUUGUACAACUACUCUGGCCAUGAGUAAUGUUAAUGUAACAUAUAAUGGAUCUUUCCAUUUUAUGGCUUCUCCUUACGUUUUCAACCCCAGUCUCUCGAUCCUUGGCGCUUAA